AUUCCCUCAAUGUGUUGCCUCUUUUGAUAACCACUCUCUGUUCUUAUUAGCCUAUUAUGUGAUAUGGAUUCUAUUUGUAUCCAAGAUAAUAAACUUAUUUUUGCAAUGCGGAGCAAAGCUUGAAGCUUGCUUCAACUCCGCCGCGGGUUGGCCCGGUAUUGCACUAUGUCCGGGAUUGGCCCACUCUUC